rnacentral:misc_RNA from 1 species
GGGCUAUGGUGGAGGUUCUGCAAGUGGUGGUGAUACUGGUCUUUACUCAUCAAGCUUUGGCAGUAGUUAUCUGUCACGUGGGUCUGAUGUUGGUGGUAGCUCUUAUUCCUCCUUGUAUUCUGGCCGCAACUUAGGUGGCAAUGGGUACAUGGGUGGUAGUGGGUCUGGUUCUUACUACUGAGAGACUGACAUCACAAGAAGAAGUCCAAUGUAGGCUGUGGAUUAUGAAGCUUCUGGAUUUGAUGCCUACACACUUGGAAAGAAAUUGUAGUGUGCCGGUUACAGUAGUCUGUUUGCCAGGUUCAGUGUUUGUGUUUUAAAAGAUUCCAAGUUUGGUGCUUCGGACAAGUAGGCUUUAGUUAUGGUUUGGAAUUAAAGGACACCGAAGGUACUUAGUUAUGUAGUAUUUAAGCUUGCCUUUUCUCUCUUAUCUCCCUCGUAAUAAGACAAUGAGGCUACAUAUAAUGGCUGGACUUAAUGGAAUACAAGGUUACCAUGGUGUGGUUUGUAAGA